GUGCAUGUAGCUCAGUGGGAAGAGCACCGGGUCGUGAUCCCGGUGGCCGUCGGUUCGAAUCCGACCAUGCACC
rnacentral:tRNA from 1 species